rnacentral:rRNA from 1 species
GCAGGCGGUUUCUUAAGUCUGAUGUGAAAGCCCCCGGCUCAACCGGGGAGGGUCAUUGGAAAUUGGGGAACUUGAGUGCAGAAGAGGAGAGUGGAAUUCCACGUGUAGCGGUGAAAUGCGUAGAGAUGUGGAGGUACACCAGUGGCGAAGGCGACUCUCUGGUCUGUAACUGACGCUGAGGAGCGAAAGCGUGGGGAGCGAACAGGAUUAGAUACCCUGGUAGUCCACGCCGUAAACGAUGAGUGCUAAGUGUUUGGGGGUUUCCGCCCCUUAGUGCUGCAGCUAACGCAUUAAGCACUCCGCCUGGGGAGUACGGUCGCAAGACUGAAACUCAAAGGAAUUGACGGGGGCCCGCACAAGCGGUGGAGCAUGUGGUUUAAUUCGAAGCAACGCGAAGAACCUUACCAGGUCUUGACAUCCUCUGACAAUCCUAGAGAUAGGACGUCCCCUUCGGGGGCAGAGUGACAGGUGGUGCAUGGUUGUCGUCAGCUCGUGUCGUGAGAUGUUGGGUUAAGUCCCGCAACGAGCGCAACCCUUGAUCUUAGUUGCCAGCAUUCAGUUGGGCACUCUAAGGUGACUGCCGGUGACAAACCGGAGGAAGGUGGGGAUGACGUCAAAUCAUCAUGCCCCUUAUGACCUGGGCUACACACGUGCUACAAUGGACAGAACAAAGGGCAGCGAAACCGCGAGGUUAAGCCAAUCCCACAAAUCUGUUCUCAGUUCGGAUCGCAGUCUGCAACUCGACUGCGUGAAGCUGGAAUCGCUAGUAAUCGCGGAUCAGCAUGCC